GAUUUCAACUGAAAAAGUUAUCAACAACAAAGUUGUAUAACUCAUCAAUAUCUAUAACUUUUAUUUUGGUCAUUUCUUCAUCCGAAAAAGUGAUAGUAACAUUGUUCACAAAAUUCACAUAUCUCUCAUCUGGUUUAUAAACUAUAACACAUAUUUGUGAAUUUUGUGAACAAUGUUAGUAACACUUUGUCGGAUGAAAAAAUGACAAACAUAAAAGUUAUAGAUCUUGGUGAAUUAUACGACUUUGUUGUUGAUGACUUUUUCAGUUGAAAUC
rnacentral:pre_miRNA from 1 species